UUUGCCAUUCAAUGGAUUCAAAUGAAUGUCAAUACUAACACACACUAAUCUUCAAUAGAAACGAAGCAAAAUCUGUGACCCGGAACAGAAAAUCCAAAUAUAAAGUUGAAUAGUUGGAGUCCAUGGUUCAUUUGUCAUAAGAAACAUCUACAAAAACUUACUUGUACACCUUCUAAUCAUGUUGUUUAAUAUUGAAAUUGAGCAGUUAGUUACGAACAUAAACCCAACUUUAUAACGUGCAAAGAACAACUUAGUCAACACCUAUCAAUACAGACCUACUACACGACAUGAAACAAUAAAAGAAAAGAACUCAACUUCUUGUACUCCACCAAAUUCGUUGAAUUGCAUAGUCGGCACUUAGCCGUUGUUCAUUGAGCUAAAAGGAUACCUGGAAAGCAAAAUAAGAUAGAAGUGAGAAGAUUAGCAGCAAGCAGUCGCAAACAGCCCAGAUUUGUGGUCAAUCAAACAAUGAUCAGCUCCAUAAAACCAAUAGAAUAGUAGACAUAUCCCAAAAAUCGACUUUAAACCAAACUUAAACCAUUCGCCUCACCAAAUGCUCAAUUUCAGAAGUUGUCCAGGAACUCUAAACGGACAGAAUGAUUUAGAGAACUAGAAUAGGAAACCUAAACCCAUUCAAACAUCUUGCAACAUUUUUAGGUUUUGAGAAGGAAAUCAUUGAUUCUAAACUUCAGUAUUUCUUUCUAUAUUUUCAAAAACAAAAGCUCCUAAUUGUCUCUCAGAUUUUCAGGACCCUCCAAAUCUCUAGGCUCUCAAAUUUUCCAAACCCCCUUUUUUGUGUUUAUAUAUUUUUCCAAUUCCUCCAGUCUUAGAGUUUGCCUUGAAAGGAAAGUUUGUAAUGUCUUUAUAGGCAAAAAAAGUAGGGUAGCCUU
rnacentral:lncRNA from 1 species